AGUGAACGCUGGCGGUAGGCCUAACACAUGCAAGUCGAACGGCAGCACAGUAAGAGCUUGCUCUUACGGGUGGCGAGUGGCGGACGGGUGAGGAAUACAUCGGAAUCUACUUUUUCGUGGGGGAUAACGUAGGGAAACUUACGCUAAUACCGCAUACGACCUACGGGUGAAAGCAGGGGAUCUUCGUACCUUGCGCGAUUGAAUGAGCCGAUGUCGGAUUAGCUAGUUGGCGGGGUAAAGGCCCACCAAGGCGACGAUCCGUAGCUGGUCUGAGAGGAUGAUCAGCCACACUGGAACUGAGAAACGGUCCAGAUUCCUGCGGGAGGCAGCAGUGGGGAAUAUUGGACAAUGGGCGCAAGCCUGAUCCAGACAUACCGCGUGGGUGAAGAAGGCCUUCGGGUUGUAAAGCCCUUUUGUUGGGAAAGAAAAGCAGCAGGUUAAUACCCCGCUGCUCUGACGGUACCCAAAGAAUAAGCACCGGCUAACUUCGUG
rnacentral:rRNA from 1 species